rnacentral:rRNA from 1 species
AGCGUACACGGUGGAUGCCCUGGCAGUCAGAGGCGAUGAAGGACGUGCUAAUCUGCGAAAAGCGUCGGUAAGGUGAUAUGAACCGUUAUAGCCGGCGAUGUCCGAAUGGGGAAACCCAGUGCAAUUCGUUGCACUAUCGUUUGAUGAAUACAUAGUCAAACGAGGCGAACCGGGGGAACUGAAACAUCUAAGUACCCCGAGGAAAAGAAAUCAACCGAGAUUCCCCCAGUAGCGGCGAGCGAACGGGGAGCAGCCCGGAGUCUGAAUCAGCUUGUGUGUUAGUGGAAGCGUCUGGAAAGUCGCAGGGUACAGGGUGAUACUCCCGUACACUAAAAUGCACAGGUUGUGAACUCGAAGAGUAGGGCGGGACACGUGGUAUCCUGUCUGAAUAUGGGGGGACCAUCCUCCAAGGCUAAAUACUCCUGACUGACCGAUAGUGAACCAGUACCGUGAGGGAAAGGCGAAAAGAACCCCGGCGAGGGGAGUGAAAAAGAACCUGAAACCGUGUACGUACAAGCAGUAGGAGCCCACUUGUUGGGUGACUGCGUACCUUUUGUAUAAUGGGUCAGCGACUUAUAUUCUGUAGCAAGGUUAACCGUAUAGGGGAGCCGCAGGGAAACCGAGUCUUAACUGGGCGUUAAGUUGCAGGGUAUAGACCCGAAACCCGGUGAUCUAGCCAUGGGCAGGUUGAAGGUUGGGUAACACUAACUGGAGGACCGAACCGACUAAUGUUGAAAAAUUAGCGGAUGACUUGUGGCUGGGGGUGAAAGGCCAAUCAAACCGGGAGAUAGCUGGUUCUCCCCGAAAGCUAUUUAGGUAGCGCCUCGUGAACUCAUCUUCGGGGGUAGAGCACUGUUUCGGCUAGGGGGUCAUCCCGACUUACCAACCCGAUGCAAACUACGAAUACCGAAGAAUGUUAUCACGGGAGACACACGGCGGGUGCUAACGUCCGUCGUGAAGAGGGAAACAACCCAGACCGCCAGCUAAGGUCCCAAAGUCAUGGUUAAGUGGGAAACGAUGUGGGAAGGCCCAGACAGCCAGGAUGUUGGCUUAGAAGCAGCCAUCAUUUAAAGAAAGCGUAAUAGCUCACUGGUCGAGUCGGCCUGCGCGGAAGAUGUAACGGGGCUAAACCAUGCACCGAAGCUGCGGCAGCGACGCUUAUGCGUUGUUGGGUAGGGGAGCGUUCUGUAAGCCGUUGAAGGUGGCCUGUGAGGGUUGCUGGAGGUAUCAGAAGUGCGAAUGCUGACAUAAGUAACGAUAAUGCGGGUGAAAAACCCGCACGCCGGAAGACCAAGGGUUCCUGUCCAACGUUAAUCGGGGCAGGGUGAGUCGACCCCUAAGGCGAGGCCGAAAGGCGUAGUCGAUGGGAAACAGGUUAAUAUUCCUGUACUCGGUGUUACUGCGAAGGGGGGACGGAGAAGGCUAUGUUGGCCGGGCGACGGUUGUCCCGGUUUAAGCAUGUAGGCGGAUGUUCCAGGUAAAUCCGGAACGUCACUAACGCUGAGGUGUGAUGACGAGGCACUACGGUGCUGAAGUGACAAAUGCCCUGCUUCCAGGAAAAGCCUCUAAGCAUCAGGUAACAUCAAAUCGUACCCCAAACCGACACAGGUGGUCAGGUAGAGAAUACCAAGGCGCUUGAGAGAACUCGGGUGAAGGAACUAGGCAAAAUGGUGCCGUAACUUCGGGAGAAGGCACGCUGAUGGUAAGUGAAGUGACUUGCUCAUGGAGCUGAAAUCAGUCGAAGAUACCAGCUGGCUGCAACUGUUUAUUAAAAACACAGCACUGUGCAAACACGAAAGUGGACGUAUACGGUGUGACGCCUGCCCGGUGCCGGAAGGUUAAUUGAUGGGGUUAUCCGUAAGGAGAAGCUCUUGAUCGAAGCCCCGGUAAACGGCGGCCGUAACUAUAACGGUCCUAAGGUAGCGAAAUUCCUUGUCGGGUAAGUUCCGACCUGCACGAAUGGCGUAAUGAUGGCCAGGCUGUCUCCACCCGAGACUCAGUGAAAUUGAACUCGCUGUGAAGAUGCAGUGUACCCGCGGCAAGACGGAAAGACCCCGUGAACCUUUACUAUAGCUUGACACUGAACACUGGUCCUUGAUGUGUAGGAUAGGUGGGAGGCUUUGAAGUGUGGACGCCAGUCUGCAUGGAGCCAUCCUUGAAAUACCACCCUUUAAUGGCUGGUGUUCUAACGUGGGCCCCUAAUCGGGGUUGCGGACAGUGUCUGGUGGGUAGUUUGACUGGGGCGGUCUCCUCCUAAAGAGUAACGGAGGAGCACGAAGGUCAGCUAAUCCUGGUCGGACAUCAGGAGGUUAGUGCAAUGGCAUAAGCUGGCUUGACUGCGAGCGUGACGGCGCGAGCAGGUGCGAAAGCAGGUCAUAGUGAUCCGGUGGUUCUGAAUGGAAGGGCCAUCGCUCAACGGAUAAAAGGUACUCCGGGGAUAACAGGCUGAUACCGCCCAAGAGUUCAUAUCGACGGCGGUGUUUGGCACCUCGAUGUCGGCUCAUCACAUCCUGGGGCUGAAGUAGGUCCCAAGGGUAUGGCUGUUCGCCAUUUAAAGUGGUACGCGAGCUGGGUUUAGAACGUCGUGAGACAGUUCGGUCCCUAUCUGCCGUGGGCGCUGGAGAAUUGAGGGGGGCUGCUCCUAGUACGAGAGGACCGGAGUGGACGCAUCACUGGUGUUCGGGUUGUCAUGCCAAUGGCAUUGCCCGGUAGCUAAAUGCGGAAGAGAUAAGUGCUGAAAGCAUCUAAGCACGAAACUUGCCCCGAGAUGAGUUCUCCCUGACUCCUUGA